rnacentral:tRNA from 1 species
AUAUAUAUGGCUAAGUGGUCAGAGCGUUUGGGCAGUAGACAAGGGGCGCAGGUUUAAAUCCGGCUACAUUCA